CGGAACAGUAAAUGAGAGAGCGGAAAAUUACAGCUAAACACAAACACCACAAAAGUGUUAAAAUAGCUCUGGUCCUUAACGCACAAACAUCGCAAAAACAGUCCGGUCCUGAAGGGGUUAAAUCCAAUCCAUCCUGUUUUUGAGACCCAGGAAAAAAUACACCAAAUAGCAUUUACAUAGCCCACCAGAGGUAUUAAUUAGACUGAAUAGUGGAAUCUCCCGGAAUCUCCCAGAAUCAAACACAGGUCCCUUUUACAAUGAAACAAUGUCCAUCUUGUUUUUCUUGUUGUUUCCUGUUAGUAAAUCCAGUAGAACAUAAAGUCAAUACAAUUUUAUACCUAUAAGUUCCAGCAAGUUGACUUCACUGGUUAUGCCUUCUUAUAUCUCAAUAAAGUUUUUGAAAAAACAAAACAACUACUCUAAAGUAUAACCUUUUAAUACAAAAUGCAUGGGCUAGUUUAAGAAUGUUAG